UGCGUUGGCAGUGCUGCGGGUGAGCUCAUUUCUGCUGAGAGCAGCAGCAACCAGCGCCAACUCCUGAGCAGCAGCUCCCAGGUCCCAAGGACGGUUCCCAAGGCAGCCGCUCAGUAGGACCCAGUGCCGAGCAGCACACUCUUUGCUCUGCGAAGGGGACAGGCCAGUUUCCCCAGCAAUGAGAUAGGAGGACAGGACCUGUGCUCUGUGAGUUCCGCAGUCACGGGAAUAUCACCCGUAAUCCAGUCAAUGAAAGGGGAGGACAAAAAAGCUGAACUACCACAUGAUGGAAAGUGCAUUCAAUCUGUCAUCGAAUUUCAUCCAAAAGUUUCAGGGCUUUGGCCUGGGAUGGGAAGUUUGGGGGAAGAGGUCAUCGGAGCUGCCUGUCUACUCUGAAAUUCCAUGAUUCUGUGGUUUUCCUUAAUCGAUGGCGUCACCAAAUCCAUUUGAGGAUUUAAUUAUCAUCAAAGACAAGUUUCCAGGUAGUUGAACAAAUGUCAUCAAAUUGAAACUAAAAAAUGCUAUUGUUUGGUAGAGAUGCUAUUAUGGGUGAUCAUA